CGGAGAGCUCCGGGACCCCUCCCGGCAACGGCGGAAGCAUCUUCUCUCUCUUUGAGGGUCACCCAAUUAACAGCUUUAUACGAAGUACCUCAGGACCUUGGACAAAAAGGAAGGUAGCAGGAUGUACAUUGAGCCCUGAAUUGGAAGUGUCUGAGUUCAGGAUCUCACAUUCUGCGCUGAACCAAUCAGUAGGACAGUGUGUGUCCUUGGGCAUAUCACCUCCAACAAAGAUGGAUCUCU